rnacentral:rRNA from 1 species
UACGGAGGGUGCAAGCGUUAUCCGGAUUCACUGGGUUUAAAGGGUGCGUAGGUGGGUUGGUAAGUCAGUGGUGAAAUCUCCAGGCUUAACUUGGAAACUGCCAUUGAUACUAUCAAUCUUGAAUACCGUGGAGGUCAGCGGAAUGAUGUCAUGUAGCGGUGAAAUGCUUAGAUAUGACAUAGAACACCAAUUGCGAAGCAGCUGGCUACACGAAUAUUGACACUGAUGACACGAAA